rnacentral:rRNA from 1 species
UACGGAGGGUGCAAGCGUUAUCCGGAUCCACUGGGUUUAAAGGGUGCGUAGGAGGGCAGGUAAGUCAGUGGUGAAAUCUCCGAGCUUAACUUGGAAACUGCCAUUGAUACUAUCUGUCUUGAAUAUUGUGGAGGUGAGCGGAAUAUGUCAUGUAGCGGUGAAAUGCUUAGAUAUGACAUAGAACACCAAUUGCGAAGGCAGCUCGCUACACAAAUAUUGACUCUGAGGCACGAAAGCGUGGGGAUCAAACAGG